rnacentral:rRNA from 1 species
UACGGAGGGAGCUAGCGUUGUUCGGAAUUACUGGGCGUAAAGCGCACGUAGGCGGCUUUGUAAGUUAGAGGUGAAAGCCCGGGGCUCAACCCCGGAAUUGCCUUUAAGACUGCAUCGCUUGAAUCCGGGAGAGGUGAGUGGAAUUCCGAGUGUAGAGGUGAAAUUCGUAGAUAUUCGGAAGAACACCAGUGGCGAGGGCGGCUCACUGGUCCGGUACUGACGCUGAGGUGCGAAAGCGUGGGGAGCAAACAGG